rnacentral:rRNA from 1 species
UACGUAGGGCGCAAGCGUUGUCCGGAAUUAUUGGGCGUAAAGAGCUCGUAGGCGGUCUGUUACGUCCGCUGUGAAAACCCAGGGCUUAACCCUGGGCUUGCAGUGGAUACGGGUAGACUAGAGGCAGGUAGGGGAGAAUGGAAUUCCCGGUGUAGCGGUGAAAUGCGUAGAUAUCGAGAGGAACACCUGCGGCGAAGGCGGGUUGCUGGGCUGACACUGACGCUGAAGCGCGAAAGCUAGGGGAGCGAACGGG